rnacentral:rRNA from 1 species
AAACCUGAGAAACCCAAAAGAUCGAAUGGGGAGAUUCAUCGUCAGCGAAUUUGGUACGUGUGCGGUUCGCGAUGCCGGAGACUUCGGUCUUCGGGCACGCGUCCGCAUGUUUUUUAUUGCCUCGAUCGUCGGCGUGCACUUCUCCCCUAGUAGGACGUCGCGACCCGCUGGGUGUCGGUCUACGGCCCGGGUGGUAGCCUGUCUCGCGUACGCUUCACGGCGUCACGGCGGUUCAGACCCCCGGUUGCCCGACCGGCUGCCCGGCGGUACUCGCACGGUAUCUGGCCGCAAGUAUUCAAACUGCGUCCGGCCCGUCGCAAGCGAGGCAAGUGUUUCCCGGUUGUACGGAUCUAAUGCCGUCACCGGGCCUUGCCAGCUGUUGGCUGACGGUGUCCUAGGACUGGCUAAUAGAUACCGGUCGGCGACGCUACUGCUUUGGGUACUUUCAGGACCCGUCUUGAAACACGGACCAAGGAGUCUAACAUGUGCGCGAGUCAUUGGGAACUGUUAAGCCUAAAGGCGCAAUGAAAGUGAAGGUCGGCCUUGCGCCAACCGAGGGAGGAUGGGCCGCGUCACGAUGCGGUCCCGCACUCCCGGGGCGUCUCGUUCUCAU